rnacentral:rRNA from 1 species
CUACGGGCGGCAGCAGUGGGGAAUAUUGGACAAUGGGGGAAACCCUGAUCCAGCAAUGCCGCGUGUGUGAAGAGGGCCUGCGGGUUGUAAAGCACUUUCGGUUGGGAGGACUGCUUCUAGCACUAAUAUUGUCGGAAGUUGACGUUACCUUCAGAAGAAGCACCGGCUAACUCCGUGCCAGCAGCCGCGGUAAUACGGAGGGUGCAAGCGUGAAUCGGAAUUACUGGGCGUAAAGCGCGCGUAGGCGGCUAGAUCAGUCGGGUGUGAAAGCCCCGGGCUUAACCUGGGAACUGCAUCCGAUACUGUCUAGCUUGAGUACAGGAGAGGAGAGUGGAAUUCCACAUGUAGCGGUGAAAUGCGUAGAUAUGUGGAGGAACACCAAUGGCGAAGGCAGCUCUCUGGCCUGAUACUGACGCUGAGGUGCGAAAGCGUGGGGAGCAAACAGGAUUAGAUACCCUAGUAGUC